UUAAAACCCCUCUGGAGGCUCGCUAAUAUCAGGAGAGGGAUUAUUGCUAUGGCCCUCCCCUUCGCUCUCUCCACACUUGUCUAUUCCUCUGCUAUCAUUUAAAUGUCUGAGGAAUAAUUGAAUGAAUUAUCAUAAAAUUUUGACAAAUUCAUUGACUAGGCCGCCGCCGCGAGUGAGCGAGAGCAUUUUCUUUCAUUUUAGCUGUGCAAGACAUGACAUUUGAAAUUCGUUUAUAUGCGGCCAAGACCUUUCGCUGUUUCGCCAGUGGUCUGAAGAACAAAAAGAGAGCUCACCACAGAUGGACAGCCAGAGUCUUCCGUGAUGUCUAUGCUAGACAAAAGGACUGAGCCCGCCAUCGCCCCGGAGCCCAAGCCCCACAAAUUGUCUGACCAGGUGUGUGAGCUAGUGGAUUACGAGGGAAUGGAGGAAGACCACGCCCACACUCCCACUACUGAGGGUGAAAUCUUCAACCAGUCAGCUCCGCCUUGGCUCCUCCCUCCAUUGGCUCCACCUGGGACCAUAGAAAGAGGUGGCAAAUCCUAAUUUGGUUCAAAGCCUCAUAUUUGCAUCAUUCGUUUUGGACUCUUCCAAAUAGCUUGGUUCUACUGGGAUAUGUGUGAUCUCUUGAGAAGACCUAGAUACAAGAAACAAAGAACUCCUCUGCCUGAAGGAUCCAAGUCAAACCAAUCUGUUACAAGUAACAUUUCAUUAUCUCUUCAGAUACAAACCACAAGGUCCCGCAAAUAGAGGCCUAUUUUUCCGGCUCUGCUAAUAGAAUUGAAUUUCACAGAGUGUAACUUAAAUUAGACAUUCCAUAGCAGCCCUGAAUGGCAGAAAUAAUCGGCAUGGGUGACUAAUUUGGCAGAGCGUGCACUAAGUACACAAAUCCCCUUUUUUCCACCCCUCGCCCGAGGUUUGCGAAGAGCAGCACACAACCCACAGACAAAGGCAACACACGGCUCAUAAAAAUUAACAUAGUAAAUGACCUGGAGAGGAAGGCACAAUAAAUAAUCUGAUCUUAUCACCUCAGAGUAUGCGUGGCAUGGAACGGAGGCGUCCAAUGAAAAUAUCCUCGUUAAUCUUGCAUACCCUUGGAUAAACUUCUUCACAGGAAGCCAUUUCUCUGCAGAGUCUCUGGGGGUCGAGACAAGGUUGUCUGCUUCUACAAAUAAAAUUAUGUUUUUUUUGUUUUUUUUUUAUAUAAGUUAAACAAAAAUUGACCAUGGCUAAUUCAUUUAGGUUGCACGCCUUGAUUAUGUCAGUACAUUUAACAUGUAAAACUUUUUAAAGACUUCUGGCCUGACCACUACUUGACAGUAGGCUACUGUAUGGUGUCAUAUUUUACUUGAGCACUGUACAUUUUUACAGUUUUUUUUUCUUCAGUCAAUUAAAAGUUCAGUUGUUUUUUGUAUAUUGAAGGAAAUAUUCUUAAAAUGUAGUUAAUAGUUAACUUAAUAUUAUUGUAAUAUUAUGUUUGUGUUGUGUCUACAUGAUCUUCUGUAUAGGAUGCGUUUGGAUGAGUUAAUUAACCCGCUAACAAAUACAUCGUUCAUUCACUGUUCAGCUUCAGCUUUCUUGAGUAUAAAGCUUUUAACACAGUCCUUAAUCCUGGGUUAUUAUUGUUCUAAACCCUGCUUUUUAAACUUGUACAGUGUGAAACCAUGCAAUGUUAGAAUGUUGCGGUUAACUGCAUAGCAACCCACAACUAACUAAAAUUGAAUUGAAGAAAAGACCAUUUCAUUCUUACCUUUAUAGUCCGAAAAGUCCAGUUGGGAUAAACUUGAUAUAGUACAAUCGGCAAUAUAUAAUAUGAGGAUGCGCAACGCUAGAGCCUUUAUGUAAAUAAACUGUGUGUGCUGAUUGUCCAAUCAAUGACACUGACACCACAAAUAUGAAAUUAAGGACAUUAACCCAGGAUAUAGGAAUGUACAGUGUGAAACAACAGCUUAUGAAUACCCAGGAUUAAUUAUUAAUUGUUAUGAACAGUGUGAAACAUGAAGCAAGAUAACCCAGGAAAAUGUUUACCCAGGGUUAACUAUUUCAAGUGUGAAAAGUCCUUAUGAUGGCAUUAGUUUGACUAUAAUUGGAUAUUUGUUGUUGUUGUUCAAAAAGCAUUGUUAGUGCAUGGUUAAUAUCUUGUGAUGUUGUUUUCUCUUAUAUUUUUGUCAACAUUACAUUUUAAUUAAAAUCAUUGGUAACACUUUAUUUAAAGCCAUGUAAAAUGCAUUACAAAAGGUAUUCAUAAUGUACGUUAUAAUGCAUUAUAUAUUACAAUUAUUCAUGAGACCAUACAUUGCAUUAUAAGAUGCAUUACAAGGCAUAAUUAAUGCAUUAAAAAUACUUUUAUGAUGCAUUAUACAUGAAGGCUUUAAGUGUUACCAAAUCAUUUAAUUAUAAUCAUUUAAUCAUUUAAUAGCACUUUUUUUAGUUCUCUCUCUCUCUCUCUCUCUCUCUCACACACACACACACACACACACUAAUAACAAACACUUUUGUCAUUAAUUCUUUUGACGAGAUUAACAAUGCACUUGAACAAGUUAUCCAGUAUAUUUUGUGGUAAAUUGUGGGUCUGGAUGAAAACACAUGUAAAUGGAUGUUUUAGUAGGUCUAUUGUACUAACAUUAUGUGUGAGUUACUGCACCUCUGGGGGUGACACGAUUAUGCAAGAUCCAUUGCAAAAGCUUUACAGUGCUAAAUAUGUACUAGAAACCACCUGAGGAUGAAUGUCACAGAUCUCUAUCUCAAGCCCUUCACUUCUGUGUCCCGAUGCCCUCUGAGGAACUUCAAAAUAGAGAGGGCCGGGAUGGUUGUCCCCAUUGAGCAGGUCAUAUUCAGUACAGUAUUCAUGUCAGCCAGGAAUAUAUGUCAUUUGUCAGUGUUACGGAGGAGCUUUGAAUCAGAGCUGUAGCCUCAUAGCUGUGAAGGCCAGCAAAUAAAUCAUUCAGGAUACACAGCAACUCUCUCUCUUUCUUACAGACACACAGAAUAGCACAUAAACAAAGUGAUUUAGCGAUUUGAGCGCCCCACUUUUGGCUUACUGAAGGAGGAAGACAUGAGAAAGUUGUCAAAGCAGCACCUUGCUCACUUUGGCCAAGCCAUGGCCUUGAGUCUUUAGAUAAUUACAUUUCGUUGACUGACAGUUUGCUACAGAUGAUUGAUAAUAGCUUUAAUUUUCAAAAGGUGUUCUCCAUUUUUUUUUGUUCCGAGAUGAAAACAAGGUCUUGAUUUAUCUAGCAUUAUCUAGUUUCUCACAGUCAUGCUUCCUGUUUGUCAUGUGUUUCCCUUGCUCCUUAUAGGCUUGUUUGACUUCACGCAGCGCUGCACAGACUGACUGGCGGCUGUAUUAAAGCAUGCCGUUUCGAAAUUUUGUCUAACUUGAGACAGUGCAAAUGCCACAUGGCUGUGACGUACUUGUGGCAUCAAAGUACCGUGAGAGCGAUUCGAGAGCAGUCGGCUGAGUCAGCCAGUGGCUGCACUGGCUCUGACACAGCUGUUCCACGAUUGGCCGGAUUCACCGCAUGACAACAAUCACAUGUGUUUUGUGUUUAUUCUGAAACCUUCAGUUCCACUAAUGCUCACAAAUCUGUAUUUUGUACAGUAAAAGCUCUUUUCAUGUAGUCAUGAUGUUAUAUUGUGUCAUGUUUAUCAAAAUAAAACUGAUAAAAAAAUGUAUACCCCACUUCUUUGGUAUUUAAAGUAUAUGCUUAUGUUGAACAUUAUUCUUAUUCAAACAGACGCUGUAAGCAGUACAUAAAGUAUUGAAUGAAAAUGUCUCUGAAAUGUCUGUGUAUUUGACAAAUACUGCAUUUAUUUCACUUAAGCUGUGAUAAAGUAUGCAAACGCAGUGUAAGCGUCACUGCAGGAAGCAGAAAGUGUCCGACUUUAUGUCUCUGUUUUCAGGUCCUCCCUGAAUGCAAGUGGCAGCUCUUGCCAAUCGGUUGCAUCCAGCCGCAGCCAAUUUCGAACACACCUUAGCUGUGUCCCAAUUCAGAGGCCCCUUUCAUGCACUCCGAAGUGCGUAGCCCCUGAAUUGGGACACAGCUCUUAUGUUAUCCUGCCAUGUGCUCCCCGAUUUCCAUGUGUCUUGUUCUCAUUGGUUGGUCUAGUCAUGUGUCCUAUGUUCUCAUUGGUUCAUUGUUUGAUUAUGCACAGGUGUUCCUUGUUAGUCAUUAGUCUGUCUGUAUAAAUAGCCCUCAUGUUCUUGUUUCUUUGUCUAGUAUUUUUCUGUUUAACCCAAUGAUAGGUGAGUUUGUUUCAUGGUUAUGUUAUGUAAAGUCUUUGUUUAUCUUGUAUUUGUAUAUGUUUUUGGAUUAAAAUAAAUUGCACAUGGGUUCA